GGCUACACUAAUAAAAUUUAAACUUUAUUUUUGGUAAAUUAUAACGUUUUUAAAAAAAAAAAUUGAAUAAUUUUAGGUAAAAUUUAGAUUAUUUUUAAUAAAAAGUUAUAAUUUAAAGUUUUGAUAAACGAAUUAGAUUAGUACCUAAGUAGUCAAAUGUAAAAAGUGCAGAA
rnacentral:rRNA from 1 species